GCAGGAUCCAUCAAUAUAGUGCUGAUGCAUGGUGGCGGCUUGUUUAGUUCAGAGGCCCCUACUUUCGUGCCYCUGAUACAGAUAGCAGAAAUACCUAGGAGUGGAAACCAUGAGACUUUCAGAUGCAAACUGUUAGAGCUGUGUGAAUACCCACUCAAGUCAAUUUUGAAGUUAAGCAACCAAGUUUUUCAGGCCCGGGACAUGAAGGAAACUUGUAGUCAGCUGUUGAGGUCUUCUGCUUUUCCGCUGUGUCACAGUCCAGCUCAUCACAGAAAUGAUUAAGUCCAUGCUACUCCUGUUUGUAGAAGAGCUGAGCCAGGGAGUGUUUCUGUGUUCAGAACUAUCUACCUGGCUGAUACUGUUAGAAUAAUAUCAAUAUUCUUCUAGUAAUAUCAAUAGAUCUAUAACUUUUUAAUAAUUUUUGUUUUAUUCGCCAGCACAAACACUUGCUCCUUGUUACUCUGCUGACCUAAAGCCAACAUCAGGGAGACUCAUCUCAGCAGUCAGCUGCACCGUGCUUUUGGCGGUACCACCGCUGAACACCAGUACAGUUGUGUUCUGGGAAUAUAAAAAUGGCCCUCACGAAGAAUUCAUCCUAAAGUAUUAUCUCAAUAAACCUGUAAAUACUACUUCUUCCUACAAAAACCGUACAAAGUUCAAUGAAACAGAUUUCUCUCUGCAAAUGGUGCUACAGCUGGGAGACAGCGGAAUGUACCGUUUUAGAACAGAGUCACAGGAAACGGACUGGUUCCAACUGGAAGUUAUUGAACCACUGCCUGCUCCAGAAAUCGUGGGCAACUCCUCUGUGAAAGCAGGAGGCAACACUAAACUGGUCUGCAACAUCUCAGAAGGGAAGGCAGACUCCUACUGGUGGAAGAAGAAUGGGGAGCUGCUGCUUGGGAGUGACCAUUUCCAGUUUGUUCAUAACAACACGUUGCAUAUCAUUGAAGCGACAAUGAACGACAGCGGCUACUAUGCUUGUGUGGUCCGCAACAAAGUGAGCCAGAAUGAAACCUCCUUCCUGCUUCAUGUUCAGAACGCGGCAAACAUGGUCUUACCUGUGGUGAUGGCAUGCGUUAUCGUUGGCUCUCUAAUAGGUGAGUGCUGUGAUUCACUCCUUACCCUGCCUUUUUGGCUUACUGCAUUAUCACUGAUGGGUACUACGGCAGAUAUUGCAAGUAAGAAGGGAUGGAGUGAGUGA
ensembl:lncRNA